CUGAGGGGCUAAACUGCUUCUUCACACGCUUUGAAGUUGAUACACCGGAUGUGACCACGCCACUUCCACUAGACCCCUGUAGCCACACCCUCACAGUGCAGGCACAGGAGGUAAGGCGUGUUCUGCGGGCAGUGAACCCAAGAAAAGCUGCUGGACCAGACGGUGUGACUGGGAGGGUGCUGAGGGACUGUGCAGACCAACUGGCUGGUGUGUUCACCAACAUAUUCAACCAGUCCCUAUCCCAGUGCUUGAUUCCACCCUGCCUGAAGUCCUCCACAAUCAUUCCUCUACCAAAAAAGACCACUGCCAGCACCCCUAACGACUACCGACCAGUGGCACUGACACCUAUCAUCAUGAAGUGUUUUGAGAAACUGGUCCGGAGUCACAUCACAACAAGCCUGCCACCCACUUUUGACUCCCACCAGUUUGCAUACAGAGCAAACAGGGCUACAGAAGAUGCUAUUGCCACGGCUCUCCACACCACACUUACACACGUGGAACAGAGAGGGAAUUACGCCAGGCUGCUCUUCAUAGACUUCAGCUCUGCUUUCAACACGAUCAUACCAAGCAGACUGGUCACCAAACUGAUGGACUUAGGGCUCUCACAGCAAAUCUGCUACUGGAUCAGAAAUUUCCUGACAGACCGCUCCCAGAGGGUUAGAGUAGGAUCCCAUCUCUCCUCAGCUCUCAGCAUCAGCAUCGGCUCACCGCAGGGCUGCGUGUUGAGCCCCCUACUCUACACCAUCUAUACCCAUGACUGCACUCCCACCCACCCGAGCAAUGCCAUCAUUAAGUUUGCAGAUGAUACAACCGUGGUGGGGCUCAUCUCAGGAGGAGAUGAGACUGCAUACAGGGAGGAGGUGCAAAGGCUGUCGACAUGGUGCACCUUGAACAAUCUUGUCCUCAACACCUCCAAGACAAAAGAGCUGAUAGUCGACUAUAGGAGGAAAAAAUCGGACAUGCAGCCUAUUGCCAUCAAUGGGGAGAGAGUGGAGAGGGUAUCAGACUUCAGCUUCCUGGGCACUCACAUCGAGGAGGACCUUUCCUGGACCAGAAACACCAUUGCACUGCUGAAAAAGGCACAACAGAGGCUGUAUUUCCUGAGGUU
rnacentral:lncRNA from 1 species